AUUGAACGCUGGCGGCAGGCCUAACACAUGCAAGUCGAACGGUAACAGGAAGAAGCUUGCUUCUUUGCUGACGAGUGGCGGACGGGUGAGUAAUGUCUGGGAAACUGCCUGAUGGAGGGGGAUAACUACUGGAAACGGUAGCUAAUACCGCAUAACGUCGCAAGACCAAAAAGGGGGACCUUCGGGCCUCUUGCCAUCGGAUGUGCCCAGAUGGGAUUAGCUAGUAGGUGGGGUAACGGCUCACCUAGUCGACGAUCCCUAGCUGGUCUGAGAGGAUGACCAGCCACACUGGAACUGAGACACGGUCCAGACUCCUACGGGAGGCAGCAGUGGGGAAUAUUGGACAAUGGGCGCAAGCCUGAUGCAGCCAUGCCGCGUGUAUGAAGAAGGCCUUCGGGUUGUAAAGUACUUUCAGCGGGGAGGAAGGGAGUAAAGUUAAUACCUUGGCUCAUUGACGUUACCCGCAGAAGAAGCACCGGCUAACUCCGUG
rnacentral:rRNA from 1 species